rnacentral:rRNA from 1 species
CCUACGGGCGGCUGCAGUGGGGGAUAUUGCACAAUGGGGGAAACCCUGAUGCAGCGACGCCGCGUGUGGGAAGACGGUCCUCUGGAUUGUAAACCACUGUCCCCAGGGACGAAAAUGACGGUACCUGCGGAGGAAGCUCCGGCGAACUACGUGCCAGCAGCCGCGGUACUACGUAGGGGGCGAGCGUUGUCCGGAAUUACUGGGUGUAACGGGAGCGUAGGCGGGGAUGCAAGUUUGGUGUCAAAACUACCGGCUCAACUGGUAGUCGCACUCGAAACUGCAGCUCUUGAGUGAAGUAGAGGCAGGCGGAAUUCCUGGGGUAGCGGUGAAAUGCGUAGAUAUAAGGAAGAACACCAGUGGCGAAGGCGGCCUGCUGGGCUUAUACUGACGCUGAGGCUCGAAAGUGUGGGGAGCAAACAGGAUUAGAUACCCGUGUAGUC